rnacentral:rRNA from 1 species
GGGGAAUAUUGGACAAUGGGGGCAACCCUGAUCCAGCCAUGCCGCGUGUGUGAAGAAGGCCUUCGGGUUGUAAAGCACUUUAAGCGGGGAGGAAGGCCUGAUGGCUAAUAUCCAUCGGGAUUGACGUUACCCGCAGAAUAAGCACCGGCAAACUUCGUGCCAGCAGCCGCGGUAAUACGAAGGGUGCGAGCGUUAAUCGGAAUUACUGGGCGUAAAGCGCGCGUAGGUGGUUAAGUAAGCGAUCUGUGAAAGCCCCGGGCUUAACCUGGGAACUGCAGGUCGAACUGCUUGGCUAGAGUAUGGUAGAGGGGUGUGGAAUUUCCUGUGUAGCGGUGAAAUGCGUAGAUAUAGGAAGGAACAUCAGUGGCGAAGGCGACACCCUGGACCGAUACUGACACUGAGGCGCGAAAGCGUGGGUAGUGAAC